GAUCAUUAUCAUGCAAGUUCUUCAAUGUUAUUUUGGAGUUUCUUUGAUACAAUUUCUCUUCUUUUCCUUUGGAGGGCAACUUUUGAAGGAAUUGAAGGAAUCCACUGGGAUCUGUUUCGAGCUUCUCUCAAUUUGAGAAAAGCUACAACCCGUUUUUUUUCUUUGGAAAACAAACGGGUGUGGGGCCUUUUUUAGGACUCGCAAUUCAAUAUACUUUAUGAAAUUCUUGAUUGAUUCUUAAUUGAAACAAAAAACAACUUUCAACAAUGGAUCUCUCGGCUUACGCAUCGAUGAAGAACGCAGCGAAUCGCGAUAUGUAAUGUGAUCUGCAUUUAGUGAAUCAUCGAAUCUUUGAACGCAUCUUGCGCCCAAGGGUAAUCCUUUGGGCACGCCUGUUUCAGUGUUAUGUUAAACCCAAAAACUUUUUUUUUUUUGGUGAUGUAACGUUGGGCUUGCCAAUCUUUUUUGAUUGGUCUUGCUUGGAAUGAUGUCAAUUCCAGUCGGAUCACCUUAUUCUUCAGAUCAGGCUUUGGUAGACUACCGAAAGUCGCGUUUGAAUGAAUCUUGGCCCGAAUUGAUGGAAU
rnacentral:misc_RNA from 1 species